AUGGGGGUGCAAAGACCCCUCACCUUAACCCAGGACCAGCCCUCCCCAAAUCAGGACCCACACGAGGUUACCGCAGGUGGUGGGUGGGAUGUCCCCAUCAGCAUAGGACUCGUUGUCCUAAUUAUUAAUUUGUGGUUAAUUGGGGUGUGGAAAACCCGUGGUGUAGCUGAGCUGCGUGCUUCCCCUGCCCGGCCAGCAGACGUGGUGGGGUGUGAGGGUAGGCGAUGGGGACCGUGCCUGUCCCCACACAACCCCAACCCCAGUCAGGCUCCGUGUAGGGGCAGCGCAUCCCUGCCCUGCCAGCACUUCAGCUCCACCUCCCGGCCCCACAGCAGGGUUAGUGAAGGACACACGAGCCACUCGCCGCUUCAGAAACACAUUGCUGGUGGGGAACACAGGAGCAGGGGUGAGAUGCCCACAGCUGCCUGCCCACUCCGGGAGGUGGGAUGGCAUUUCCAUCUUCUCACACCAGUUUUGGACUGUGCCCAUGGGUCCAGACCCUGCCCCAGCACCCGAUGACGGCUGAGCAGAAGGGAGGGAGCUGCGGUGCUGGGAACAUCGCUCCCCACGGCGAAGGCACCAGCGCAUUGACAGGAUGCUCAGCACCUUGUAGAGCUGCCCCACUGAAGGCUGCAGGGCCAGAUUUUGGGGAGCAGAGCCCUCUUAGAGCCCUCUUACAACCCUAACAUCAAGAAUAUCAAUAGAGGGGGGGAGGAGAAGAGCUUCACCGUAUCUCACUGUAGCUACAGGAAUAGAGAGCAGUUUGUCCAAGCGAGUUUUCCAGUCCACAUGGGUCGAUAGUGGAUAGAAAGGUGCCACAAAAAGCGAUUGAUCCCAGCCCUGGGAGGUCCCAGGAGGGUGGGUGAUUCACCCUCCAGCAGCGCCUGCCUCCCUCCAGAGCAGGGGCGAUGGGUGGAAAGCACUUUGCAUCUUCUGACACCCAAAACUGAGGUGUCAGCAUCUUGGUGUGCACGGAGGGGGCUUGGUAACAGCUGAACGACGUGGGAUGGGUCCCACCGCUCAUACCUGGCACCCAUUCUCCAGGCUUUUGCACCUCUUUCAAAAAGUAGCAUUAACAUAACAAGGGAAUUCUGCAUCUCCCUGGCUGCAGCGUGAAUUACAGGCAUCUGAACAGCAUCAGCUGGUGGUUCCUGCCACAGCCGGACCACGGGAGCCGGGGGGAGAAGGUGACCAAGAAGCCACCGCAGGGCGAGCUGGAGAUCCCCAUGUCUUCCCAGCCCGAAGCUGGGUGCUCAGCACGCCCGCGAGGCUUCCUCCACGCCAGGGUGGGCUCCCACGAGAUUACCUGUGGCCUGGAGUCACCACACACCACCGAAAUUUUGUUUGCUGAAGUUUUCCCUCCCCGCCCCAAAACGCGCUCGCUGCCUGCACCCGGCUCCGUGCCACCCACACCAGCGCAACAGGGGAGAAUCAGCCUUAACCGGGACACGGCCAUCGGCAUUGCCACCCAGCCACAGCCUCGUAAUUACUCUGGAUUUCCAAAAUUUGUAGGUCUGGCGCGCACACAUGGAGCCAGGGCUGUCCUGGGGGGCAGCUCAGCUUUCUCAGCUUGGACACAGGCAAGAGAACCAAGUCCCGCUAAUAAUUUAAGAGCAUCAAUUAAUACAGUUUAAUAAAUACGUAAAAGGAUCUAGUUUUUCUUCUCUUUCCAUUCAUUUUCUAGCUUCAAUGAAAGUUAAGGGUGAUUGUCCCGUGAGUAACUAAGGCAAAUUUGUUUGUGUGUGUGUUUCUCCCUCCUUUUUUUUUUUUUUUGUUUUGUUUUUGUGUUUUUUUUUUUCCCCAUUGUUUUGUACGUAAAGCAAUCACAUAAAAAUAGUUAUAAAUAGAAAAAUUGCAAAUGUUUUCCCCCAUAGACAAAUAGAAAAAAAAAAAAAAGAAACAACAAACAAGUCGAGACAAAAAAAAAAACAAAAAAAACCACCUUGCUUCAAGUUCUUGUAGGUUAUACAGUACUUAGCUUCUUUGGAUGCUUUACAAUGACUCCAGAUCGUAGACAAAAAACACCUGAAGUAACCAGUCAUCUGCAAAACGUCGCUUGUGUAAGAAGUUGAUGCGGACUUAAAAAAAAAAAAAAAAAAAAAAGAGAGAGUUUGAUGCAGUUUUAGAAGUUCUCUCUUUUUUUUUUUUCUUCUAUUUUUUCUCCACCAAUUUGUUGCACACAGUCCCUGCAGAUUCCUUCCCGGGAGCAAGCAGCGGGCAGUUUGUGGCAGCGUUCGGCCACGCGUGGUCACAGCACGAGCAUCCCUGGUGGGGGCACGGGAGGGGAUGUGUCAGGCUCCCGUGGGGCGACCACCGUCCGGUCCCCACUUCAGAGCAGCAGCGUUGGCAGGCAAGCCAAGAACCUACAGAAAACGGACCUGCAGUCCUCUCGUUCCCUUUCAUCCUGCUGACGUUGAAAGGGAAAUGGUAAAUAUCUUGAAAGGUAAAGAAAUAAAGAAAAAGACGUAAUUUGUAACAUUUACAUUUUCGAGCACUGAUUUCGUGUAUGAUCACCCUACCAGGCGCCCGCAGGAAGCCAUCCUCUCAUCAGGCGGUGAUAUGGGGGUCCCACCACGUCCGAGAGGCAGACCGCCACCAAAAGCCUACAUUCUCAGAGGCAUCUCACAUUUUUAGGAGCUGCCAGGCCAAAGGAGGCUCACGGGGCGAUUCCAGCCCACUGCCACUUUUUGGCCUCGAAGGAGAGAGGGAAGAAAUAUCAGGUGGGGGUGGCUGGAGCAGGGUCUGCAGGAAGCCGGGGGGGGACCCCAGACCCAGCAGCCACCGUGGGCCUCCUCGAGCUCAGAGCAGCCCGUCGGACGCUAUCCCCUUGUCUUUUGAAGCAACAAAUGGAGAAGAAAUGUGAUUUCUACUUGCUUGCAAGUAGACAACCUUGCCUGCGAGAAAUCUUUAGUGGCCUCCUUUUCCCCUAAAGAUCCCCUCAGACCAGCAGCAGGAAAAUUUGCGCACCGAAUUUUUUUUCUGAUCAGCGUUGCAGAUUCAGGGACACCCAAGUGUUUUGUAAAAUUUUUGUCAUCAAAAUAUAUAUAGGAAUUAGGGGCGGAGGGGGGAGGGAUUAAGGACGAAAAUCCAGACACGGUCAGUGGCGGCAAAUUCUCACUGAGCUCUCCUGACUCUUUGGUUUGAAACGACUUUCUCAUUUCAACAUUCCCUCAUGGUUUCUUUUCCCAAAGCAAGGGUUUGAAAAAAAAAAAGCUCUGGAUCAAAACAUUUCUGAUCCUUCCAAAAAACUUUCUUCACCUUUUUAAGCAACUGAAGGUAAAAUGCUCAAAACAGGGUUUGAUUCUCUGUCUGAAGUUUAGAAAUGGCCAAAGAACCAAAGUAACAAAAUUCCCCUUUUCCACACAGGUUUUGUCUGGAGUGAUCUCCAAACAGUUUUUGUUUUUUUUUUGACUGUUCAGGGUCCCAAUGCGUACCGCACAGCCCCAUAAAGUCGAUCCCCUUUAUCUCUCCAGGCUGCGGCAGUGCGGAGCUGCCCCGCUCACCCCGCUCUUCCACCAAGACCCCUCUUGGAAUAAAGUGUUGUUUCCAGACACGGGAGUUUAACUGAAAAUAAAAAAACAAAAAGCAAUGACCUCCAAAAGUCCUUUUCGGCCAAAAGGGCCGAGGAAUGUAACAUAUCAAAACCAAGUCUGGACGGCUUGUGGGCGUCCAGUGCCCUCCGUGGGUCCCCCAGCAGUGGUCCCAGGGGGGGUGGCCAUGCCCCGGACUAAGGCAAGUGACAUUUUCGGGAGCGUUGAGGAGAGCAGCAGCCCUGGCAUGGCCUUCCUGGAUGGGGCCACCGAAUCUAAAGCGCUGGUGGCCACGGGUGGCAUCUGGCCGUGUCUGGCAUGGGGUCAGUUCUCUUGGUGGGCCUGCGGGGGGGGCGAGGAAG
rnacentral:lncRNA from 1 species